rnacentral:rRNA from 1 species
GAUGAACGCUGGCGGCGUGCUUAACACAUGCAAGUCGAACGGUGAAGCAGGAGCUUGCUCUUGUGGAUCAGUGGCGAACGGGUGAGUAACACGUGAGCAACCUGCCCCUGACUCUGGGAUAAGCGCUGGAAACGGCGUCUAAUACUGGAUAUGUGAUGUGACCGCAUGGUCUGCAUCUGGAAAGAAUUUCGGUUGGGGAUGGGCUCGCGGCCUAUCAGCUUGUUGGUGAUGUAAUGGCUCACCAAGGCGUCGACGGGUAGGCGGCCUGCGAGGGUGUUCGGCCACACUGGGACUGAGACACGGCCCAGCCGCCUACGGGAGGCAGCAGUGGGGAAUAUUGCACAAUGGGCGGAAGCCUGAUGCAGCAACGCCGCGUGAGGGAUGACGGCCUUCGGGUUGUAAACUUCUUUUAGCAGGGAAGAAGCGAAAGUGACGGUACCUGCAGAAAAAGCACCGGCUAACUACGUGCCAGCCGCCGCGGUAA